rnacentral:rRNA from 1 species
AACGGCAGCAUGGGGGCAACCCUGAUGGCGAGUGGCGAACGGGUGAGUAAUAUAUCGGAACGUACCCGAGAGUGGGGGACAACCAGUCGAAAGAUUGGCUAAUACCGCAUACGAUCUACGGAUGAAAGUGGGGGACCUUCGGGCCUCACGCUCCUGGAGCGGCCGAUAGCUGAUUAGCUAGUUGGUGGGGUAAAGGCCUACCAAGGCGAUGAUCAGUAGCUGGUCUGAGAGGACGAUCAGCCACACUGGGACUGAGACACGGCCCAGACUCC